UUGAACGCUGGCGGCAUGCCUUACACAUGCAAGUCGAACGGUAGAGGGGCAACCCUUGAGAGUGGCGAACGGGUGAGUAAUAUAUCGGAACGUGCCCAGUCGUGGGGGAUAACGCAGCGAAAGCUGCGCUAAUACCGCAUACGAUCUAUGGAUGAAAGCGGGGGAUCGCAAGACCUCGCGCGAUUGGAACGGCCGAUAUCAGAUUAGGUAGUUGGUGGGGUAAAAGCCCACCAAGCCGACGAUCUGUAGCUG
rnacentral:rRNA from 1 species